rnacentral:rRNA from 1 species
CCUACGGGUGGCUGCAGUGAGGAAUAUUGGUCAAUGGACGAGAGUCUGAACCAGCCAAGUAGCGUGAAGGAUGACUGCCCUAUGGGUUGUAAACUUCUUUUAUAUGGGAAUAAAACGUUCCACGUGUGGGAUUUUGUAUGUACCAUAUGAAUAAGGAUCGGCUAACUCCGUGCCAGCAGCCGCGGUAAUACGGAGGAUCCGAGCGUUAACCGGAUUUAUUGGGUUUAAAGGGAGCGUAGGUGGAUUGUUAAGUCAGUUGUGAAAGUUUGCGGCUCAACCGUAAAAUUGCAGUUGAAACUGGCAGUCUUGAGUACAGUAGAGGUGGGCGGAAUUCGUGGUGUAGCGGUGAAAUGCUUAGAUAUCACGAAGAACUCCGAUUGCGAAGGCAGUUCACUGGACUGCAACUGACACUGAGGCUCGAAAGUGUGGGUAUCAAACAGGAUUAGAUACCCUUGUAGUC